ensembl:misc_RNA 7SK 7SK RNA
UGAUGUGAGUGGACCUGGUCACAGGCUGAUCCAGCUGGCUAGCAGGCACCUCCUAUACCUCUCACUGCUCUUUUGGUAUACCCUUCUUCCCCCCCCCCAAGCUUCCUACGCAGUCUAAGAGGGUGGCCCACCCUGAAAGAGAAGAACUUUCUUUGGUCAACAGUACAAGAGUAGCUCCUCUCCCCUGCUAGAACCUUCAAACAAGCUUGAAAAGUCCAUGUGUGAAGCAGUGUAGGGUAGCCAAGCUUCCAGGACUCCAGCAAAUGAGGCAUUGCUUGUGGCAAUCAGCCUUGAAAA